rnacentral:tRNA from 1 species
GGGCCGGUGGUCUAGUGGUAUGACGUCGCCCUUACAAGGCGAAGGUCGCAGGUUCGAUCCCUGCCCGGCCCA